CUGACAGUACACUCGCUCCGAUUAAGAACUAGAAUACAGUCUACAUGAAUGGAUUUUAGUUUUUUAUUAUUAUUUAUAUUUGUAUCAUUUUUAUUCACUUCAUUUUUUCUUAUUUUUCUAUCUACGUGACUUUACCGAAAGAACCAAAGAAUAUGAAUUCCUGCAGUCACUAAAGUUUUAAGUCAAAUUUUUUUAUAAAUAUUAACGUCAUUCUGACUGACUCGUCUGAAUUUUUUCAAUAAUCGAUAUAUGUAGCACAGUUUGACCACUCGUUUUAUCAUUUCAGUUCGUACAUUUCUAUCAAUAAUUUGUUUAUGACAAAAACUAUCCAUGACACGAAGAGAGAGAGAGAGAAGAUGCUAAUCUAUAUGAACCAUUGUCUUAAAUAACUGCUGGUAAACCAAAAAAAAAGUGACAAAUUGUCGUUUUGCGAAUAUUUUGACCGUGUCUAUUUGUGUUCAACCGCCCCAAAUAUUCACUUAUUGUGGAACUUAUCUACUUCGUGUGUCCAUACAAUUUGUAUACGUAAAUGUACCUAUGGAAUUCAUAUACAGUACUUGCAGUAACGUAACGAAAUGCGGUGGAGCAAUGUUGCAAUUCUUUGCGCUGUAAACCCGCUGACCUGGCUGAGAUUGAGAGUUACAGCGCACAUCAGUGGCAAGUGACAUCUGAGCCGGUUCCUGGCCAGCUCCCUUUCAACAACCUGCACUAACCAGCGUGGUGAAGCAUGGUCAAACAACCCAGCUCCAUGGCUAACGCAUCUUCGGUGAGGCCUUUGCAUUGCAACAUGGGAUGUUAAUUAUUUACUUAAUGCACAUAUGCAAUUAUUAACAUGUUGCCCGCAUGUCGAAUCGGUCGAUUUGUGCUUUUUUUGUUUCAAGAAGAAGAACAAUUUUGUCUUUGUGGUUACAAUGACAGGGCAGUGGGAUAAUUGUUUUACAUUCACGCGGACUGUGAGCCCCGGGGCCAGUGAGAUCAUCCGUGGCGCUCACAGUGCACAGCUUUUGUAAGGAAUGUACCGUUACAGCAAAUAAAGCAGAUAUUCGUGAUCCCCCCAACGUGGAAAAGUAAACCAUUGUCGUUGCACAGUGUUGACGGUGUUACCUGCAGUGGCGGUGUUAAGUGUUUAAACGAAGCAGGCACGGGGUGCAUUGUUUCCAUUUAUUAUGUAUGUACAUUUACUGACCUGCUUAUCGUUUUCUCUAUUUUUCACUCCUGCCGGGGCUUUUCCCCCCCAGUAUUCUUCGGUGUCGUAACUUGCUGACCCGCCCAUGCUGGACAUUUGUGAAAAGAAAAGCUUCAUAGCUCAUCGGAUUCCUCCAGUCCAAAUACACAUUCUGAUUCUGACCAUAAGGUGGAUACAUCACGUGGAGUCGCUUUCUUAGGUGGAAAUGGACCUCGUUUUCGUGUCAGAGUGACAUCGAUCGGCAUGGCAACCGCGAUGUACAAUGUUCCACUCCGCAAACUGGGAGCUUCUUAAGGAAAUGACUGGUCGGGAGCAAAACGUCAGACAUCAUGCCGAACAACGUGCGGUACAACCCAACACACACAUCGGAGAGUUAAACGUCAUUUGUGAGUGUCAGUGCAUGUAUCCUGAGUUUAAGAAUUGAUAUAAAUCAAUCAAAUGAUGGGUCGUUUUCCCCCUAAUCCAUAUCUGUUGCUCCCAGGUAAAAAAAAAAAGAAAUAUCUUCGUUGGGAAUCAAUGUGCCCCUAUGAGAUGUGCCGAUUGCAAACAAUACAGGAAAUUCAUUUUUACAUGACAGUUUCAUAUUGAUUUUGGUGAGCGUUGAUGGGUUUUGAUAGGUAUGUCACAUAUCUGACGUAUGUGUAUCGCACAUCUUCACGCAGUGGCAGUGAAGACGGAGGGUGUACUUCGACCUCCGAGCCACCCAUUCCACUUUUACCCGGAGAGCCAAAUGGACAAGGCUGAGUCGAGCGUUGUUCAUGCACGUUGCAUCUCACAAGCGCCGAAGAACCACAAACAAGCUGGAAGGCAGCCAAACGCCAACAAUUGGACAAGAUCGGCAAUAUAUACACAAAUUAUUGCCGGCCAAUUAAUGGGUGUGUAUACAUGUGGCAGGAGGCUGUCACACCAGAAGAAAAUCCACGCAUGCAAGGCGGCAAAUAUAAGCAUUAGCGAGCAUUCAGUCUCACAUAACAAGUUACAUUUGCUCAUCUGUGCUGUACGUAUGCAUGUUUACUUUCUUUCUCACCAUACGUAGCCAACCGUGCUAAUCGGAGGUGCGGGGGAAGGACAACAAACUAAACGCAAAAAGCAGUUCUCAAGAAAUGAGUAUCGCUGUGAUGCAUAGCAUCUGAUAGUCUUUCAUGCUGACUCUUAAUUUUUCCGAGGCAGCCAUCAUAAGCACCAAUGAAUCAUCAUAGGCCCAUAAAGGCACUGCCUAUUGGUAUGAUGUAAAUGAAAAUGAUUCAUGUACAUAUAUUCGUCCUCCCUUUCUUAUUCCUUAACAAAAUAGCUUUGGACAAGGUUUUUACCGUUCAAGGGCAUACACGAAAUGAGUGACAUUUAUAUCCCAAAGCUAUACAUUUCUGGAGUGCAAAGCUGUUUGACAUUUUCAGCUUCACGUGAGACUUUAGUUCAGUCUCAAAAAGGGGAUGGUCGCUGUUGUCUUGAAGAGGGGCCCUCUUUUAAUAAACGCAGGUGUGAGAGAUGGGUGAGGUCAUGUGACUCUGCUGGGCUAAAGCGAAGUCACGCGACGUGCACAUGCGCAGCAGGGUUAGCUUUAUUUUAUUUGAAUGUGUUUUUGUUUUGUAAGUUAUUAGAUAAUUUAUCAUCAUUGAUAAUAUACAAUUAGUUAUUGUGACAUGCUCUAGAACGCAAAAAACACAAACAAUUAACAACUUGCAGCUCUUCUAAUGUGCAGAUGUGCAAUGGUACUACCAUCCUUCAUCACGUGACGCAUCUGCCCUCUGUUGGUAGACUCUGGAGAGAGAGAGAAAUACGUUUUUUUGUUUGUAUUGUGAUACAACGCCAAUUCUUUUUUAAGGGAUGUUUGCAUGUUGGGGAAAUGCCGCAAUAGUACCCCAAUAGAACCCAUGCAUUUGAAGGGGACAAAUAUCCCCCGUAUAGCCUUAGCAGGCUGAUGGGGCAAGUGCUGU